UUAAAUGUUCUGCCGGCAGACUAUCCUGGUUAUGUCCUGCCCUCCCCUCGAGCGCAAAUCACGCCCCAGAUUAGCACGCCCACCAGUGCCCCUCCCCUUUCGAUCGCCACCAGCGCAGCUCCCUUUCCGGCCGCCGCCACGACCUCCUCCGCGCCGGACCGCCACCCCACGUUCCUCCGCACCAGGCCGCCGCCACGCCCUUCUCCGCGCCGAGUCGGCUCCCUCUCCACAGCGCCCCCCCCCCCCGGAUGGGAGCCUCCGCAUGCUCCUGCUCUGGCGACGAUGCAGCCAUUCUUCCAAUGGACAACUCCAUCCCCGCUACUUGUGUGCCGCCUCGGAUCUCCAUCUCGAUUUGUGAUGUGUUCUCUGGUGCCAUUGAAGCAGAAUCUCGUGCUUCCCAAAUUGGCGGGUCUUCUCUUUCCUCCCUUCUUUCUCCAAUCUCCACCCCCAACCCGUUAGUAAUUCUAGACGAUGAUGCAUACUUCAUGAAAUUAAGUUGGCAAUGUAUUGAAGAUGUUUGGUUCACUGUGUGUGAAAUAUCUGAUUGGUACAGAAGCUGCUUGUGCACGUCAAUCUAAGUCGUAUUUUAAAUUCAAUGUUGUUUGUUCAGCUAGUAAUGCACAAAGUUCGGCGUCUGUUGUUCUGGGUUCAGUGCUAGCAGAUCCUGCAAUGUCUCAAUUUCAGUUAUCCUAUCAUCAUUUGGGUCUAGCAAAAUUAUGUUCAUGCCUACAUCUAUGCGGCCGCCAUCUAUUUGAUCAAAAACAUAAAUGAUAUACAUGGUUCAAAAACAUAAAUGAUGGUGUAUUUGGUGUAUCAUCACUAUGCUGCUGCACAAUCUGAACCAGGAGAAGUCUUAUGCGACGCAUAUUAACCCUUACCGAGGUCAAGACCCAUUGUUGAUGAAGUACUUUCUAAUUGACCCAUCCGGCACCCAGCUAUUUGAUCUUAUUAGGGAUGGUGUCCUGCUCUGUAGGUUAAUCAAUGUAGAUGUAUGUUGAACCAUUGAUUAGAGAGCAAUAAAUAAGAAAAGAGUUCGUAACCCAUGGGAGAGGAAUCAAAAUCACAUGAUGUGUCUCAACUCUGCAAAGGCCAUUGGAUGUAUUGUUGUCAACAUUGGAACGCAGGAUUUAGUGGAAGGAAGGGUAUGUCUUUCCCCACUUGUUAUCCUUUCUUGAUGUAGUGUGAUUGGUAUACAAAAGUUCCAGAGCUCUGAACUAUCCUUUUCGCAGUAACUUAAGUCAUGAUGUCUCCCUUUAAUUCUGUCAUAUCUUGUAUCGUGAUAUUAAAUAUUGUUGUGAUGAAUUGGCAGGUAAAUUUAGGUACCAAAUACUCUUAUCAUUACUCUUAUCAGUCAAUAUUGUUUAAGGCCCAAAUUUUUGAUUGAACUUUUGGUCAGUUUCAGAUAUUUGUCAUGAUAUUCAGAUCCAAAGAUAUGUAACAACCUAUUUGAGCAAGUUGGAAACACAUUCAGAUCGGGAUUAGUACAUCAUGCAUCUGCUAUCUUAUUUUGCGUUUGUAAUCGUAAUAGAUGUCUCCAGCUUCAGUAUGCUGUUAGUGACCACAAAAAAAGUAUGUUGUUAGUGUACCUCAAGAACGCUUUAGGUUUGGUGGAAAGGAGAGAGAGAGGCUGAAAAGGAAAAAACUUAUGGAAGUGGCACAGGCCAAAUUGAGCGCCAAGGUACCCAAAGAGGGGGGCACCCAUAGUUAAAAUGUCGUGGUCUUAGUAACAUCAAGAAUCUGUCAUAGUUAUUGGCUUUCGCUAUUCACUCGCUGGUUAGCCCAUAGUCCAGAAUCAGCUAACACUUUUUUGUGGUCCAGUUUUCGGCCAUCAUAUUUCCCCGAGAAUCAAGGGAAAGGAAGAGGAAAGUAAAAUGAUGAUACAUCAUCUGUUGCAAGUGUUUACAUCGCGCAGUUUGGUUCAGUCUAUAUGAUUUGGGUACACAACAUCUUAUUUGUAAGAAAACACAAGAACACACUUCUGUGUGCUGUGUAAUAUGUUGAUAGAUCUGUGGUUAGGGAGCAGACUUGGAUUGCAUGGUUUCUCCUUUCAGCCCGCUUGCAUGUUUGUUAAUGUCCAUCUUUUUUUAGCUAUCAUGCAGAAACUUUAAUCUGUUGUGCAGAAUACAUUUCUUCAGAGAAACCGUUGGUUGUGUGCAGAAUAUAUUUCUUCAGAAAAUGUGUUAUUGUGCAGAACCUACAAUGAAGUUGUCGGGGAGAAGAUCCAGUGAACAAAGCUACAUCGAGUUGGGUCAAAGUGACUGGUCCUUGAAACGGUCUAUUGUGCAUGGAAAGUCACGUUCAUCUCUGGGAAAUUUCACCGCGGCCUCCGUCGUACAUGUGCUUCGAUCUAUUUUCGUAUUCUUUUCUUGGGUGUUUGACAAAUGCUUCACAAACUAAGCUCAUGUUAAACAUGCACAACUAUGUAAGAUAGUUUCACCUCUCUUAUGUACUUGCAGAUUGACAACCAUUGCCAAUUUGUAUUGUUUCUAAACGGAAAAAAUGAUGCCCUCUUGUUCACCGAUUAUCUAUGAACCGACAUGAUGCCCUCAUGUACUACAUUGGUCUUUCAGAUGCUGGUUGUGCACACAUGGAAUUAUUAGCUUAUCCUUUUCUACUUUAUUUGUUCAGUUCACUGAAAAUGGAACUACCGCCCGAAACUUUUAUGCACGUGCUACCUUCGAUUUUCAGUUCCUUAAUAUAUCUUGUUAAGCUUACCUGCAAAGGUUCAUAAACCAUAACUAUCUAACAUGCAUUGCACUCUGACCUGAUGUAGUAAUUCGCAAUAGCAGUGCCACGGUUCAGUUCAUCAUGGGGACAAACUACCUGUAUAAUGUCCACUCCUACUGGUCUUUCACCUGUCAAACAAGAAGACGUGGUGCAGCUAGCUGCUGAAAAGGAGAUGACUGUGGUCCUCUUGACAAUGAAGAUGAAGACGCAGCAGACCAAGCCUUUGCGUUCUCCACUCGCAUGCACAAGGAGUUCCGCAAGAUGGCCAAUGUUGUUAAGAACCAGGUCACUAGCAACUACUACAUGGCUGACUUGACCAAACCCGCUCUUGCAAGACUUCAAUUUACCGUAACCUGGUAAAUGAUGAGUAUAAUGAAUGAUGCGCUCAGGAUACUGGUUGUGCGAGUAGGUUCGACAUUUGUACCCCAUGACUAUCUUUCCAUAAUUGAUUGGGACAUUCCCCCUUUUCUUUAGAGAUGAAGGGAACAUUUGCACUCCCUCUAUGCUAUGCCUGAGACCAUGAUUACUCAUUAUACCCAUGUUCAUUUUUGGGUUAUGUUUUUGAACCAUGUAUAUCAUUUAUGUGUGUGAACCUCUGGUGUCCUUUUAAAAAUACAUAUUGUUGUGCA